CUCCUCAAAUCUCUUCAGUUCUUCAGAGUCUACACAGGAAGGCUCCCAUCCAACAGCACUCAGAGAGGUUGAGAAUCUCACCCAGUAUCACAAAGCCAGUCAGUGGCAGCUCCAGGCCUCAAAGCCUGGACCCUGGCUUUGCCUUUGGAGACAGAUUCUCAGCUGCACACCAGUCACCCAGAUUCCUCAGAAACAGUGGGGCCAGAGGCCCCAUUUUAGAGGCUCAGAGUGGAAGGCAGUGGAAGAGGUGGAGGCAGCUAGGGGAAGAUGAGAGAGGGGUAGAAGGACAAAAGCCUGGGAGUGAAGACUGCCUUUACGUUCACUCCUCAGCUCAGCCCCAGACUGCCGGAGUGACCUUGGCAUCUGUUCUCACUGGCGAACAGCGGCCAUCCGCAGUGAAGGUCUGACCCUGAGUCUCCAGGGUCGGUCCACCUCCCACAACCCAAGUCCACGGAGGACCUCCCUCGUGGCUCUGCACAGCCUGGGCACAGCCAGCAGAGGGCGCCACCUCAGCCACAGUGAAGCCCACAUUGCCCCAGCGCAGGAACAGCCCCAGGAGGAGGCCCCGGCUGGCAGAGGCUGCCUUGCCUGCUGCUUAGCUCUCAGGAGGUCAACUCCCAGGCGAGCCGACCACAGACGCAGCAGCCAGAGCUCAGCAGCCUCAGGGGCUCUCCCAGCAGGAUCUUCAAGCCUAGACUUCUGUUUGGAGAAGGACCACCUCAAGCAGCCCCAGCCUUCCUGAUCUCCCAACACCAGGGGUUGCCUAGGAGCCACGUGGAGCCCUACCAGGAAACCAACCGAAGCUUCCAGAGGUCAAGGACCUUGUCCCGCUCCUCUACGGGGUGGGUAACGCUGCUGUGUGACCUGGGCUCCGCAUAUAAAGUGAGGGACUUUGCUUGAGGGCCCCCAGCACCUCACACUCCAUCCCUGACUUUGGGUCUGCGGUUCCAGCUCCCAGGACUUUCCCACCUCCCGCCCCAGCGUGCUGUUUCUUAGGGCCCAGCUCCCUUGGGAACAGCCAGGCCCGUCCCCUCCCCCUCCCGGGCUGUGCUCCUGGCAGCUCUGCCGCCCUAGGCUCUGGUCCGGGGGUGGUCCCUGGCAGAGAGGGGGCUGGGCAGAAGAUGGGAUGCUGGCGCUGAGAUGCGGGGUAUUCGGAGACCCCCAGGCCCCCACCUCAGAGCCCGCUGUGCUCUAGGCUGGGGUGGGCAGGGCCUUUUGGAAAGGGGUGGCUUGGGGUUUUAAUCACUUUUUCAAUGUUUGUUUGUGUAAUUCAGCCCCGAAAUGCUUUUCCCUCCAUCUGUCCCACCAUCUGCUCCUGUCAGGAUUUUCCAAACCGUUUGGGACC